AACGUCAUGGAGGGAGGAUGGCGUGGGGAGAGGGCCCAGCCUUCUCUUUGUCCGGGGCUGACCCCUGGUCCUCAGAAGCUGGGUGACCCUGCCUGCCUUCCUGUCUCAACCCCAGCCAAGUGGAGGAGGCUUCUCUUUGCACAGGGUUUUACAUGAUCAGCAGCUCGUUCAGGAGCCUGGGAAUACUCUUCAUUGAUCUUCAUUUCUGUUGUUUCAGGAUAUUCAAAAGUUUAGGGGGAGGAGUUCUGUGGUGCAGUGGAUUAAGGAUCCAGCACUGUCACUGCAGCCGCUUGGGUCACUGCUGUGGCAGGGGUUUGAUCCCCAGCCUGGGGACUUCCACAUGCUGUGGGAGUGGCCCCAAAAAACCCAGGGGUUGGGGGAACAACUACAGGCAUUGAGCCCCUCUUCUUAAACCCUCAAGUGACAGGCUGAAUCCCCUGUAGGGGGAGCAGUGUCAAACCAGAAGAGCAAACGCACUUUGAAUUAAGCUUGAAAAGCUGGCCCUCAGGAGGCUUGUGUAGCUUAACCGACUGUAGCAUAAGAAGGCAGCUUCCCUGAAGUGGGUGUGGAGGGAGCACAGUCCCAACAGGAUGCGGCUCCACUGAGCCACUGAGCGUCUAUAAGAAUAAAUCUGUCUGAAGGCCUGGGAGUUUUAGGUCCUGCCAUCUGGCUAGAGAAGCAGACAGGUUUCCUUCUGUGUUGAUGGGAUUUCCCAAGUGACCUGGUUGAAAACCACUUCCAGAAGCUGGUGUACAGCUACGUGUAAGGAAGGCUGACCCACCUCCAGGCAGGGGUACAUCUGGAGGGGUCUGAGAAAGACUUAGCUGGGUUGUAAUGGGAACAGUUAAACCCAGAAAGUCCACUGGGAGAGUCAGGAGACAGGGGACCCUCAUCGCUGAAGUCAUCUGAAAUCUUUGCACAUAACCACAUUCUAUACCGUCUUAGAGCAGAUUGCUUCCUCGUAGUUAAAUAAGCUAAACCAGAGUUUCUCAAACAUGAGCAACAUGUUGUGCCUCUUAAAGGAAGGGCUUCUUGCAGCCCCUUGUGUUUGUCUGGGGCUCACUUGGCAGCACCCCAUCUUCAGAUGAGCCAGGAUGGCUGGAAGUCUUGACUUAGAUUAUCACUGAAGUGGAAAAAACCCCAAACAAACAACACCACACUUUAAAAAGGUCAGAGAAGUCAAAAACCCCAGAGACUACAUCCUGAGACCCUGAGGUGGAAGAAAGGUCUGUGAAACCUGUGAGCUGUGGAAGAGAGACAUUCCCAGCUUAAUACUCAGAGUCCUGUGAAAAGUGAGCAACACCCAGCUGAAGCUACGCAGCCUCUCUGUGGGUUACUGCCCUCCAGAGAGAUGCUCCCUGCCCUGAAGAAGUGCUCCUGGCCUGUGGAUGCCGGGGUUCCUCUCCCACCUCUGUGGAGGGGACCAUUCUAGGUUUGUCUCUGACCAUCACACACACUCUCAGGGUUAGUGAUGGGGAGGCAGUGGGCAAGAUGGAAGCACAGGAAGGCCAUGCCAGGUGCACGGGCAGGUCAGAGGCUGGUCCACAUGCCUGUCUCGGGUGCAGCACAGGGCAGCCAUGACACGUGGUCACUUGACUGACACAGGUUUGAAUCUUGCCUGGAGGCAGGAAGGCUGGUGAUUGACUCUAGCUGACUAUCCAGCAUCUGUCUCUCCUGCUGCAUUUACACAAGUCCCAUGUGAAAAACCAGCCCUGUAAAGAAAAAAAAGCUAGAGAGGGAAAAGAAGAAAUUUAAUAAAAGGGUGUCUUCAUGUUUGUGUCCCCCUAGAAUUCCUAUAUUGAAAUCCAUCCCCCCACACUCAGUGUGAUGGCAUUAGGAGGUGAGUGCAGAUGCCCAAUGAAUGGGAUUAGUGUUCUUAUAAAAGAGAUCCCCCCUCAAAUGGUAUCCCCGAAACAGAGCCUUCGCUAGAACCUGGUCAUGCUGGCACCAUGACUUCAGAUUUCCAGCCUCCAGGACUAUGGGAAGUAGAUUUCUGUGUGGAUAAGACACCCAGUUUAUGGUAUUUUGUUACAGCAGCCUGAGCUAAGACAGGCUGGCUUUAAGUUAAAGAGUGGUUUUUAAAUUUGGGGUUAGUUAAACACGAUGAAUGUAAUACAGCAUUCAUGGUAGAACUUCAUAAAUGACUUUAGGCUUAUAUUUACAAAAUCAUUAAAAGUCACGUAUUUUUCAAUUUCAUGGGGAAAAGUACAGAUUAGAGGAUGCGGUUGGGUUCCUUGGGCUGUAACGGGUGAAGACCAGAAGUAAGGAUUCGUGGGCAGCAGAGAGGGCCAUGAAAUGAAACUGAGCCAUCACAGGCCUGACCCCAUGGCGUCUAGAGUCUGGAGGAGGGUUUUGGAUUGGGGUCAGCUCUAGAGACGCUUAGUGCAGGAAUUCACACUCCUCACCCUAGUGUGUGAUUGUCAGUGUGACUCGGCUCUGAGUGACUGUCUUUCUGACCCAGUACCAGCUGACUUCCUCCUCUUGUCCACAGUUUGAGUCCUCUGACUCUGAGCUUGCUCAGGGUCCACAGUGGCUUCUCAGGCCUCCUCUAUGACCAUCUCUCAAUAACAGUUUCUGUUGCUACCUGGCUUGGUCCUUAACUUUUUCUGUUCUGUAGAGCAGCCUAGUUUAUCCUUUCGUCCAGCCUGUUGGGCAUAAUCUGUGGGCUCCCAGCCAAGAGUGGGUUGUCCCUUCAACUGUGGAGAGAAUUGUUCAUGGACGUGACAUGCUCAUUGCCCCUUAGGAGGGUCACGGACAGGAAAGAGUCCUUUCAAAGGUGGUGUGGCUGUACCUCCACCAUGGUCCUGUUCAUGACUUUCGUUAUUCCUGAAGUUUUCUAUUUAAUUUUUUUAUUUGGAAACUUAGGAUGUUGCAAGAAUAGUAAAAAGAAAUCCUGUAAAUCCUUUAUCCAGAUUCACCCAUUGUCAAUAUUUUGCCAUUUUGGUUUUCUAGGCCAAGUUUUUAAUAAAUUUGUAUUAGGUAUAAAUUAGGAAUCCCUCAUCCCCCUUCUGCCCACCCUAACUUUUUCUACCCCCUCCCCCCGCCAUGUUUUGAUGAAAAGAAAUGACAGAAGCUAUGAUGGGUGGAUUCUCAGGAAAGAACUUGUCAGAAAAGUCAUGGAGCUGUUCAAUUUCUUUUUGUCUUUUUUAGGGUUGCACCUAAAGCAUAUGGAAGUUGCCAGGCUAGGGGUUGGAUCAGAACUGUGGCUGCUGGGCUACACCACAGCCACAGCAACACCAGAUCUGAACCACGUCUGUGACCUACACCACAGCUGAAGGCAGCCCUGGAUCCUUAGCCCACUGAGUGAGGCCAGGGAUUGAACUCUCAUCCUUAUGGAUACUAGUUGGAUUUGUUUCUGCUGCACCACAGUGGGAACGCCAAUCUAGUGGUAUUUUUAAUGCACAUGACAAAGUCAAUGCAAUUAAAGUUUAAGAAAAGAUGAAGAAAAUGGCAUUUUAGAUACUCCAAAAAAACCAUACCCAUAGCAACUGAAAUCCUGGAUAAAUAUUAAAUGUAUUUUAAACGUGUACUUUUAAAAUGUAUACUAUGCAAAUUUUAAUAUUUUAAAAAGACAUAAUUUACAAUAGCAGUAAAAUAUUAUUUGCCUAGCAGUAAAUUUGGCAGAAGAUAAUGCAAUCUUUUUAAAGGAGAAAGUCAACAAAUUAGGGGGUCUUUAGAGGUGGUAAGACUUAUUAUAAUGUUAUCGUAUUUAAAGGAAGGCGCUGACUCAAAAUUCAAUAGAACAGAUAGAGACCCAGAGGUAGACCCAGACAUGUAAGAAAACUUAAGUUCUAUCAGAGAUAGUAAGGCAGAUCAGUGGGGAAUUGAUGGGAUAUUCAAUAAAUAAUGCUCAGGCAAGAGGUUAUCUUUUUCUUUUUUUUUGGUCUUUUUUAGUGCCUCACCCAUAGCAUAUGGAAGUUCCUAGGCUAGGGGUGGAAUCGGAGCUGCAGCUGCUGGCCUACACCACAGCCACAGCAAAAGAGGUUAUCCUUGUAUCUCAAGAGGGAAAAGAAAUGAAAUGGGACCGUUAUAUCACUCCACACUCAAAAAUCAAUUCCUGGCAGAUUAAAGACACUUACGUAAAAAGGAAAACACAGAAAAUGUUUAGAAUACUGUAUGAGAAAAAAAUUUUUUUUUUAGGAGUUCCCAUCGUGGCGCAGUGGUUAACGAAUCCGACUAGGAACCAUGAGGUUGCGGGUUCGGUCCCUGCCCUUGCUCAGUGAGUUAACGAUCCGGCAUUGCCAUGAGCUGUGGUGUAGGUUGCAGACAGGCUCGGAUCCCGCGUUGCUGUGGCUCUGGCGUAGGCCGGUGGCUACAGCUCCGAUUUGACCCCUAGCCUGGGAACCUCCAUAUGCCGCGGGAGCGGCCCAAGAAAUAGCAACAACAACAA
ensembl:lncRNA